rnacentral:lncRNA from 1 species
AUGAAGUACAGAUAACUCAGACUGUAGUCUUCGGUUUAAUCCCUCUUUUGCCUGGACCGCCUUUUCAGGUUUUCAAUCCACCGGGAUACCCAUUUUUGCCUAAGCCGCCUUUGCAGGUUUUCGACUUACCGGGUGUACAUAUUAUUUUUUAUUCUUUAUCCCUAACUUUUGCCCGAACCUUUUUCUUUUUCUGUUUUUCUCUUGGUUCGCCGGGAUGCCCUUUUUUGCCUAGACUUUUUUUUUUAUUUU